GUUGGACAACCCAGGCUUGGAUCUGUGUAGAGGCACAGGUGAUGAAUACAUUGUCCAGAGCUCAGGUCCUCUAGGUCGUGUGCUCCUGGUACGCUUGGAGAAACAGAAGUACUUUGUGGAAGAUAACUGGUAUUGCAAUUAUGUGAAAGUCACACCACCAGGAGGGAAAAACACACAAACCUUCCCCUGCUACUGUUGGUUAGUGGGGGAUAGUAAAGUAGAAGUCCGUGAUGGCACAG